AUACUUACCUGGCAGGGGAGAUCCCAUGAUCACAAAGGUGGUUUUCCCAGGGCGAGGCUUAUCCAUUGCACUCUGGAUGUGCUGACCCCUGCGAUUUCCCCAAAUGUGGGAAACUCGACUGCAUUAAAAAUAAAUAAAUAUAUAUAUAUAUAUAUAUA